rnacentral:rRNA from 1 species
UACGUAGGUGGCAAGCGUUGUCCGGAUUUACUGGGCGUAAAGAGCGCGCAGGCGGCCGUCCAAGUCGCGUGUGAAAGCCCCCGGCUCAACUGGGGAGGGUCACGCGAUACUGGUCGACUAGAAGGCAGGAGAGGGUAGUGGAAUUCCCGGUGUAGUGGUGAAAUGCGUAGAUAUCGGGAGGAACACCAGUGGCGAAGGCGACUACCUGGCCUGUUCUUGACGCUGAGGCGCGAAAGCUAGGGGAGCAAACGGG